CCCCGGGAUAAACCCCGGGAUGAACCCCGGGCAUAAACCCCGAGCUCCUGGGGUGCCUGCUUUGGCACCCGCUUUGCCAUGCAAGUGCUGACAGCCGUCGAAGGGCCCGGCCAUGCCGUGGGGGUGACCCUGACACCCAGCGCUGCACAGGCCUCGGGACGUGGCCCUGCAUAGCGGUGUUCGGGAAGUGUCCUAUCCUGAGGUCAAACAGCAAGGGAAUAGUGAGAAGAGCCACUGAAGGAACUGUUCCUGUGCUCAUACGCAUGAUUUGAGUGGGGAAGUGCCACACUUUGGACACAUAUUCCAUGUGCAAGGAAAAUCCUGUCACUCUUGAAAAGCCUAGAAGACAAUGGAGGAGGGCAAGAUUCCUGUUCCUGAGAUGACACAAAGGCAGAGUGAAGUUGUUCCUCACAGAGCACAAGGAGUGAGGAAAAGAUUUCAGAAAAGGAACAUGAAAGUGCAUUGUGGCUGUACAGUGUAGUAAAAUUUUCUAAGACUCUAUGUGGGGGACUGUACAGGGUUGGAUACAAAAAGUGUGCAAAUUCAAAGACUGGACUCUGAAAAAAAUUCAAGACAUCUUUAUUUUCAUAAAUUAUAGUGCACAACUAGCUCAAUAAAAUGUAACCAGCGUACCUCAGAAAAAAACCAAAUAUUUUGGUAUGACAUUUCUUAUAUGAAGGGACACUGGAAAAUCCAAUCACACAAACAGAUGAACAAAGAACAACAUGAAAUAAGACAACCUUUAUAAAAAUUUUGACAGGAAGCCAUACCUGACUGUACUAGGAAUUGGAAGAUGCAAAUAGAAUAUGGUUUUGGAGGCAGAAAUAAGUGAUAAUGACCAGCCGAAGAUUGAAAUAUUUAUUGAAUAAACAAGGUAAGAUUCAAGUGCAAUGUGUGCUGGCAAAUUAAAGAAAACAAGAACAAAAAAAAUAAACAGGAGUUAACCACUAGCUUUCCUUCAUAUUGUCUGAAGAAUAUACACAAAGUAACUAGAGCAUGAGAGUACCAUGUUAAAAACCACUACAGAUAAAUCCCCCUAAAACCAGAUGAAACACUAGAUUAUAUUCCAAGACUCUAGUUAAUUUUAGCUAUCAGUGAUAUCAAACCUUUCCCCCUAAUCCCUGUUUAGGGAGCAAAACUAACCUUCUCAUGGACUGGCAUUUAUUUUACGUGCAACAUAGGAAGAUGAACUUCGGUGACUGAUAAAUUCACAAAGUCCUCUAUGAAGUGAUGUGAGCCAUGGCCUAAGGAAAUGAACAGAACUCCGAAAGGACUCAAACGGUCUGACACUGUCACUAUCCUUUCAGUUCCAUAGAGGAGGGAGUAUGAGGUGAUUAUCAAUCAGAAUUAAACUUCUGACAGUCAAGAGGUUCCUUUUUAGCAUGGAUAUGAGAUUAGCGACUCUUGACAGGAUGGUUUUUUGUAUUAAGUUAUCCCACAAACAUUAGAUAGUGUCUAUAACCAUCAACAGCGGAGGGGGUCAGUUGAACUCAUGGUGUUUUCCAAACAUUUCUCACAAUUUUUUGGCUUUAUUAAGUAUCAGAACAAAAUGAUUUGUACAUCUGAAUCUGUGCAGACUCCUAAACCGUGUUUCCAAAUCAUAAUGAAAAAGCCAGUAGUAAUUUUUUGUUUUGAAGAUUGGUGCACAGGGAGUCAUACAGAUCUCAUUAACAAAGUGGAACACACAUAUUCCUACACUUAAUGCAAAUGUUCAAAGAGUGUAUAAUGACUUACUAUUUCAAGGAAUUAAAUGAAAUAUUCCUUAAAGCUAUUGUAACACAGAUGACCCCUGCAAUUAUUUUUAUGCAAGAGCAUUUUAGUCCAGUUCUACUUCACAGCUGCAAAAAGGUAAAUAGUUAUGCGAUCAAGGCAAAUAAAGACCACAUACAAGAAAUAACAUUUCCUGAGUGACAUAGCAGCAAUUUAUAGGUAAGAACAUUGGAUAUAACCAGUAUCCAACUUACAGUCUGUCCUCUAACCAAAAUGACUGAACCCCACUCUGAGAUGUCACGGUUGCAGCAGCUCGUGGCAAGACUAUUUAGUCUCACUUCCUUAGAGGUCUCUGAUGAACUUUAACCUACGCUUUCUCUUGAGUAAAAACCAGGGAAAACCUAAUCAUGCUUGUAUAUAUUCAGUACAUACUGAAAAGCUAUUUUAAAACUUUAUUAAGACUUAAAAGUGGAACUCAGGACUUGUACUGACUGUUCUAGAACUUUAUUCCACAGGCAUUAGCAGAUUUUGUAUCCUAAGAACAAUUUCAGGAUAGAAAUUCAGUACAGACAGAAGAAUUAUUCCUCUUCUUACAUUACUACUGAAGCAAAUUACAGAGUAAGUAAAGAAUGAUUUUGGUAAGUCCCAAGGAAUGCAUUUUCCAUUAGUUUUGAAAGUGUAACCUUUAAAUUCAAUAGAAAAAGUCUUCAUGCCCCACAUGCAUGAAUGGAAAAAAUAAGAACUCAAGUAGCCAAAAAAAAUCCUACUUAUUUCCCAUGGCUUUUAACCAAAGACUUUAUGGUUUGUGGCAUAAAAUGUCCUUCACAGUUACCAAGCUGAAAUCUUGUUAGUAUAUAUUAAUUACAUAAAUUUUAUUUCCUUUAAAAUUAGUAUCAAUUAGACAACUGGUUUUAAAACUGUUUUCUUUCAUCCCAGGAAAGCUGAGCAUUUCAUAAAAUAAACAGGAAAAGGCCACAGAGUCAAACAGUUUUUUGAUGAAUAAGCCAAAUAUGAGUUUAGAUUUAACAAUGAAAUAAUGGAUAGGAAAAAAAAUCAGAAGAUACAGGUAAGUCAUACAUUUCUACUAUUUAUUCCUAAUGACUUUGUUGGAAAUACUGACUAGACAUCUAUGGAAAAACUGCCCACUCAUCAGAGUAAAGAAAGUCAAACAUUAUGCUUUUCCAGCUCUCUUGCUGCUCUACUGCAAUGACCUGAAAACCCUGCAUAGCUGCCCUCCUGAUCUCUCCAACUGCACUAGAAAGGUAGAAGAUAGUAAAUCUCAGAAAGGAAGAGAAGAAUGACCAGGCAAUGAACGCGUGAUAUGCUCACAUUAAUGAACUCUGAUUACUGGUAAGCAACUCUGAUCUCAGUAUUUCUCAUUAAAUACAUGUAUGGUGCUUUUGAAAAAAAUCUCACAAAAUUUUAAGUCAGGCAAAUUUCCAUGUGUAGAUGUAUCUGUUAUUGUUCCACCCUCUUCUAUUCAGUUCCACUGAUUAAAUCUCAAGGCACAGCUACUUUUGUUUUGCCCAGCAAGGUAUCAUAAAAAUGAGACAAAAAUAUCCUCUCGAUAACAGCAUGAGACUGAGAGAUUGCAGAGGAAAACAAGGUCAAAUGAAAACAAGUUCCACAGUUUGCUGAAAGAAAACCACACCACCUUAAAGUGUAGCUAUUCUGAGGAACGAAUGCAGAACUGAUAAAAAAAAAAUCUCAUACACACAAGAACCAAAUCCCCCUCUCUAGAAGUUUUAAGAAUGCCUCAUCAAUUCAAUACAGAAACAUUUUUCACCAGCCAACUUAUUUUUUCCAGUAAGUCAUUAUUUUAUUAAAACCUAAUGGAUUAUCCUAGAACUAAUAGGCCCUACGAUGAUGCUAAACUAUUUCGACAGAAUGCCAAGUCUUUUGACAAUUUUCAGCAUUUUGAAUUCAAAUAUCCUGCCUCAUUUUACUUCUACAGUUCUGAUGAAAUAUGCUUUUUAUUAAGCAAAAUUUGAAGCAGAACAAGGAAGCCAUAAUUCAUUUCCAAAUGAAAACCUCAAAAGAAGAAAAAGGUUUCACUAAGAUCCAUCAGUCAUAUUUUACCUUUUGUUUUUUUUCUGGGUUGGAUCCAACCUAUAAAUUUUGGAUUAGUCGUGUUGACAAAGUAAUGGAAAACUCAAGUGUGCUUCAAGUUCCUUGUUGAUAAUUACACCAAGACAGUUUUUCCACAGGGAAAAUGGAGUAAGAUUACUCCGGCUAUCCCUCCAGAAGCAACACAUACUAAUUGUUUACUAUAAAAGACAAAAUGUUCAGAGAUUACAUUCUGAAUGUAGUCACAUACUUCCUUCAGCUUUGUUUCCAUGUUCUGGACCUCUCCUGAAGAUCCCAUGUGUCAAGCAUGCACUGUAUAAUGGAUCAAAAUUUUCCAUGAGUACAUCCUGAGUUCAAUCUCAGGUUUAUGAAAUAGGUUUUCUGAGGUAUCAGUGAACUGUUAAUAAGAAGCCACUGUAUCAAACUUUACUGAAAGCCAAAUCAGCAUAGCUCACCCAGAAUUCGUGAACAUCUGGGAUUUUGCAUGUGCUUUAAAUCAGAGUCAGGUGUUACUUUUAUUGACAAGAAAUCUAGAGUACAAUGAUUGUCCAGAUAUAAGAAAUUAAGAUGAUUGCCAGAAAGGGUUUUCCACACUACAACAAAAAACCCCAGAAGACAGUCUCAAAGAAAACUUUUACUCACAUAAACACACUGGAUCACAUUCUUUCUUUUUGUUAAUGAGUUCCUCACUAAUAGGUAAAAAUAUGCAUUUUCAGCUGUUUUCUGAUUAUUUUUAACAUUAGACCAAGCCUGAUGCAGUAACAAUAUGUAUUUUUACUUUUUCCUCAGCCAGAGUACAUCCUUAAUAAAGUUCUUGGACAGCUAAUUUCAGUGGUGGAGCUGCCAUAAACAAAGCUAAUAGCUUUACUGUUAAAUUCAGGCCAACACUUACAUUUGUAUUGUAUAUGCAUUAAACAAUCAUAGAAUCGUUAAGGUUGGAAAAUCCUCUGAGAUCAUUGAGUCCAAACACUAAUUUAACACUGCCAGGUCUGUCCCUAAGCACCACAUCCAUAAGGUUUUUGAACACAGUGAUCACACUGCUUUCCUGGGCAGCCUGUUCCAAUGCUAGACCACCCUUUUAGAGAAGAAUUUUUCCCAAAUAUCCAAUCUGAACCUCCUCUGGCACAACUUGAGGCCAUUUCCUCUUGUCCUAUCUCUUGUUGGCUGGGAGACUGACCCCCACCUGGCUACAGCCUUCUUUCCGGUGGUUGUAGAGAGGAAUACUGUCCCCUCCCGAGUCUUCUUUCUCCAGGCUGAACAACCUCGGUUCUCUCAGCUGCUCCUCAUAGGACUUUUGCUCCAGACCCCUCACUAGCUGCACUGCCUUCUCUGGACAUGCUCCAGCACCUCAGUGUCUUCCUUGUCCUGAGCAGCACAAGACUGAACAAAGGAUUCAAGGUGCCAAGUACAGAAGGACAAACCCUUCCUUAUUCCUGCUGACCACACUACUUCUUGUGGCCUUAUUAACCCAACAUAAAUAAAAAUAAAUAUAAAAAUUAGAACUUAGAUGUUGAAUUUCACUCGCUAGAGUCUGUAGUACCAAAUUUAUC